rnacentral:miRNA from 14 species
ACAUACUUCCUUAUCACUCCAUA